rnacentral:rRNA from 1 species
UAGAUACCCUGGUAGUCCUAGCUGUAAACGAUGAUUACUGGGUGUGGGGAUGAGAAGUCUCUGUGCCGAAGCAAAAGCGAUAAGUAAUCCGCCUGGGGAGUACGUUCGCAAGAAUGAAACUCAAAGGAAUUGACGGGGGCCCGCACAAGUGGUGGAGCAUGUGGUUUAAUUCGACGCAACGCGAGGAACCUUACCAGACCUUGACAUCGCCGGGAGGUCAUAGAAGUAUGACUGUGCCUUCGGGAACCGG